GUAGGUGAACCUGCGGAAGGAUCAUUACCAAAUCCAAAACUUUUAUCAACACCAAAAAAGUGAACUGAGAAUGGUUUCGUUCCCACUGGAAAAGUCAUUCUUUUUUAAGAACGGCUCGGACGGUGGGAAUGUUUUAUUUUUUCAACCCCUUUUCAACCUCUUACAAUCUUUUAUGCUGAAAGCAAAAAAAAAACGAAACAUGAGACAACUUUUAACGGUGGAUCUCUUGGCUCGUGCAUCGAUGAAGAAC
rnacentral:misc_RNA from 1 species